UGUAGCCUACGGGGGGCAGCAGUAGGGAAUCUUCCACAAUGGGGGAAAGCCUGAUGGAGCAACGCCGCGUGGGUGAAGAAGGUCUUCGGAUCGUAAAACCCUGUUGUUAGAGAAGAAAGUGCGUGAGAGUAACUGUUCACGUUUCGACGGUAUCUAACCAGAAAGCCACGGCUAACUACGUGCCAGCAGCCGCGGUGAUACGUAGGUGGCAAGCGUUAUCCGGAUCUAUUGGGCGUAACGGGAACGCAGGCGGUCUUUUAAGUCUGAUGUGAAAGCCUUC
rnacentral:rRNA from 1 species